rnacentral:rRNA from 1 species
GAUGAACGCUGGCGGCGUGCCUAAUACAUGCAAGUCGAGCGAACAGAUAAGGAGCUUGCUCCUUUGACGUUAGCGGCGGACGGGUGAGUUACACGUGGAUAACCUACCUAUAAGACUGGGAUAACUUCGGGAAACCGGAGCUAAUACCGGAUAACAUAUUGAACCGCAUGGUUCAAUAGUGAAAGGCGGCUUUGCUGUCACUUAUAGAUGGAUCCGCGCCGUAUUAGCUAGUUGGUAAGGUAACGGCUUACCAAGGCAACGAUACGUAGCCGACCUGAGAGGGUGAUCGGCCACACUGGAACUGAGAAACGGUCCAGACUCCUACGGGAGGCAGCAGUAGGGAAUCUUCCGCAAUGGGCGAAAGCCUGACGGAGCAACGCCGCGUGAGUGAUGAAGGUCUUCGGAUCGUAAAACUCUGUUAUCAGGGAAGAACAAAUGUGUAAGUAACUGUGCACAUCUUGACGGUACCUGAUCAGAAAGCCACGGCUAACUACGUG